GUGGAGAUGACCUAGCAGCCUCCUCCUCCUCCCGCACCCGCGCCCUCCCUCCUCCUCUCGCACCCGCGCCUCCCUCUCCUCUUCCACUCUCCCCUAGCGCCGCCGCCCUACUUCCCCGUCGCCGCCCGACCUCCUUCUCCUCUUCCUCUCGCCCCUAGCGCCGCCGCCCCUGCCUCCUUCCCCGCCGCUGCCCGGCCUUGGGGAAAGAUUUCGACUGCAUCCGGAGAGGGAAAGAUUUCGAGGGGGAGGAGAAGGGGAGAGCAGAGAAGCUUGGAGGGCGGCGGGCGGCGGCGAUGGACGGCGAGUGGUGGAGGAAGAAGUGGGUGGCGUGGGCGGCGGCGGCGGCCAUCUUCGUGGUGCUCAUGCUCGUCACGCCCGCCAUCCCGCAGGACAAGGACUACCACGACUUCGCCGACCAGCGCGUCCUCUUCCUCGGUUGGUGAUUGAUAUGAUAGAAUGAAGUUGCCAAGGGGGAUUUGGGGGCAAAUGAAGUGUGGAUUCAGCUAAAAUUAGGCUCUAUCCAUAUGUUGAUCUGGUUAUCAGUACAGACUACAGAGGGAAUGCUUCUGAUUUCCAACACUAUCUGUUGCUUUGGUUAUACUAGCUGUGCAUAAAAAAUAUUAUACAAGAAUGUGCCACCGGCGAUGGGUGCAAACGGCUGUAAAUGUGGACGACCACAUCUUCAUCCCAAGGCAAGAGGCGGCGGCUGGCGCUGGCGUCCACGACCUCACCAAAGCAAGGAAGGAAGGAGGAGCAGGCUCCAGCGUCAGGUGCCUAAGAUCGGCACACCUCCUCCCGAUCGACCCAGACCAGCGCCAUGGCAACAAGCUUGCCCCCCUACCCCGACCUUGAAGUUGAGCGGCCGAUACCACCAUGACUUGGCGGCACAGCUGGUGGAACCGGCGUCCAUAAGCGAGCAUCGUCCAGAUGGCCGCCGCGCUUCCGCUCAGUAGUUCAUGGCUAUGCAAGGCAUCAGUGCUUGAUGAUUCGUCAUAGAGUGAUGUGUUACUCAUUGGCGACUUAAUUUGCAGCGGAAGCAGAUGCAGUAAACUCUGAAAACUAGAUUAUGUUUGCUCAUAUGACACGAACACAAUGGGAUUUUUUCUGAGGGAGUUGAUCAUGCUUGCCUUACCCUGAGCUCCAGCUAUUCACGCUACUGCCUUAAGUUCAAAAGGGUUUCUCGGCAAGGCGACGGUGUGCAAACCAUGUGCGCCUGCCUAGCUGUAUUGCGGCUCGCGGAUGCGGCAGAUGUGGCACAUGAGCAGAUGAAAGAGGAAUAACUGAAGCCCCAAUGCCUCCACACAUUCUUGCUCCCUAACAAUGGGAGUACUAGGUUGCAAACUCCUUUCCCUUCCCUUAUAUUUACAAUAUGAUGAUGACUAUAUGAUGAUAGUCUGGUUAUAAAGGUGAAAUGCCACCACAAUGUUUCAGAGGCUCACAUCUGUCAGUACUCAUUAGAUAGAACUUGUGUUGCAGUUUUUGUUAUGUGCUUCUCUAAAUUCUCUGUUGUCCAUCGUCUAUCUCUCCUGCAUAGCUAGCCCGGUGCCAUGUCAGAAGUUAAACCAAAACUUUUAAGAUGCUUGUGUAGCAAAAUGCGUUUGGAGAAGCUCAUUUAUCUUUCAGUUACUCUGUAUAAAGUGUAAUAUUCUAUUUGGUUUUGAUUACCGGCGAUGUCUAAUUCUCCAGGCUUCUUAAAAAUGAUGGCUAUGCCCAACCUGCUCAUACUAAUCAAUAAUAACAUCUCAGUUGUAUCCAGUAUUUCCCAUUCAUUGGUUAUAACAAUUGACUUGUGUGUAGGAUUCGUCUCAGUAUAUAUUCUGGGAUAAACAAUGGUUUGGCGAUGCUAUUAGUUCAUGAAAAGUUCAAGGAGGAUUUUUGAUAUUAUUUUAUUGUUAACGAGUCAUGCCAGUAAGCUUUAUGUAUUUGUUCGCCGUGGGGAGCAAUGGGGCAUUGCACACUUACCUAUGUACUCUCUCCGUAAAGAAAUAUAAGAGCGUGUAGAUCACUAAAGUAGUGAUCUAAAUGCUCUUAUAUUUCUUUACAGAGGGUGUAUAUUGCUACCUGGUUAUGUUGGUCUUUCGUAUACAGGCCUUGCUAUCAUUAUGUAUGGUCCUUCUUGCCUUAUGUGUAUUAUGAAUGGUAUUUCAACCUGUGGAAUGUACUCCUAAUCCUGGUCUAUAGAACUGCCUUUCUGAACUUGAUGUCUCAGUUGUACUCGAACAAGAGCACACGGAGGGAGCUCUUCUACGCCACCCCGGCAACAGGAACAAGGAAAAUCCAGUCCACGGUGCCACCAAUGAACAAGGCACAGAGCAUGAGGUGUUUGCACCAAUUGCUUUCUUCACACCACGGCCAUGGCUUUGAUCGUCGAUGGACGUCACCAAUCACCUAUUCUAACUCUGGCAAGUACCCGAUGAUAUAUGAUGCCACUAGCUCUUGUGAUGUACCAUGUAAACAACAGUGUGAUCUCCCUCUUCUUUUGUGAACACGGCCUGGCGCGUCUAUCCAUCCUUUUGUACUCAAUAUCUACCUUGUACGAACAUUGCAUGAAUGGACAUUGCAUCCUUCAAUUUACCAUGUAUGAACAUUUGCAUCCUUUAAA